GAUGAACGCUGGCGGCGUGCCUAAUACAUGCAAGUCGAGCGAACGGACGAGAAGCUUGCUUCUCUGAUGUUAGCGGCGGACGGGUGAGUAACACGUGGAUAACCUACCUAUAAGACUGGGAUAACUUCGGGAAACCGGAGCUAAUACCGGAUAAUAUUUUGAAACGCAUGGUUCAAAAGUGAAAGACGGUCUUGCUGUCACUUAUAGAUGGAUCCGCGCUGCAUUAGCUAGUUGGUAAGGUAACGGCUUACCAAGGCAACGAUGCAUAGCCGACCUGAGAGGGUGAUCGGCCUCACUGGAACUGAGACACGGUCCAGACUCCUACGGGAGGCAGCAGUAGGGAAUCUUCCGCAAUGGGCGAAAGCCUGACGGAGCAACGCCGCGUGAGUGAUGAAGGUCUUCGGAUCGUAAAACUCUGUUAUUAGGGAAGAACAUAUGUGUAAGUAACUGUGCACAUCUUGACGGUACCUAAUCAGAAAGCCACGGCUAACUACGUG
rnacentral:rRNA from 1 species